GUCGAACGUACAGAACUUUGGUUGAUAACUGGGCGGACGGGUGAGUAACGCGUGGGUACCUGCCUCACACUGGGGGAUAACAGUCAGAAAUGACUGCUAAUACCGCAUAAGAUUGCAUGAUAAAAACUCCGGUGGUGUGAGAUGGACCCGCGUUGGAUUAGCCAGUUGGCAGGGUAACGGCCUACCAAAGCGACGAUCCAUAGCCGGCCUGAGAGGGUGGACGGCCACAUUGGGACUGAGACACGGCCCAGACUCCUACGGGAGGCAGCAGUGGGGAAUAUUGCACAAUGGGGGAAACCCUGAUGCAGCGACGCCGCGUGAAGGAAGAAGUAUCUCGGUAUGUAAACUUCUAUCAGCAGGGAAGAAAAUGACGGUACCUGACUAAGAAGCCCCGGCUAACUACGUGCCAGCAGCCGCGGUAAUACGUAGGGGGCAAGCGUUAUCCGGAUUUACUGGGUGUAAAGGGAGCGUAGACGGAGCAGCAAGUCUGAUGUGAAAGGCGGGGCUCAACCCCCGGACUGCAUUGGAAACUGUUGAUCUUGAGUACCGGAGAGGUAAGCGGAAUUCCUAGUGUAGCGGUGAA
rnacentral:rRNA from 1 species